rnacentral:lncRNA from 1 species
UUUUUUCCAUCGCUGCUCUGGCCAGUUGGCCGUGGCAGGGGGGUGGCGUCUGAAUUUUCCUUCCUUGUUCCCACAUCCCCCUCGCUUGGCUGCCAGCUCCCUCCUCCUUCCAGAAGCAGCCUGUAGCAGGGCAGAAGGCAGGACUCUGGCAAGCCACACAGCUUCACGAACCACGCCAGUUUCUGGAAGCCCUAGCCUCCUCAUCAAUGGUGCUUCGCCACCCAGCCACGAUGACACUCCUGUGCCCCAAGGCUCUGCUCCCUGCCAGAGGUCAGCAUGGAUAUCACCAUGGCAGUGGGGCAGGGUGUGUGUGUGUGUGAUGAUGGCGUGGGGGGAGAGACCCGGGACUGCCACAGCUGUAGCAUCACCCAGUUCUGGAGGAAUGAAGUGGACACCCCGGCAGCCGGCAGAGAAAGGGAAGGCAGAAGGGAGACGAAGGAAACCCCUGUCUAGCUGCACACAGCUAACCCUGAACCGCCAGCAACAGCCACGGGGAAAACUCAUGGGACUGUAAGCUUGUUAUGGACAGGGAAUGUGUCUGUUUAUUGGUAUACUGUCCUCUCCCUGGUGCUUAGUACAGUGCUCUGAACACAGUAUGCACUCAAUAAAUAAAUUGACUGACUGAAUGAAUGAAUUCCAGGAGAAGGAUGGAGAGAUUCCUCACAGGAGAACUGGCAUCCAGAGGUCACGAAGUGAAGCCAGGGACAGAAAAGAAGCAGGGGCAUUUGAACUCUAAGGGCAUUUUUACCAGUGUGCGCAUAUGCAUGUGUGUGUAUGCACAUGUACACACUCAUGUGGGAGACCAGGGCCAGGGUAUUCGUAUGUGAGGGGACUUUCAGCAUGCAUCCAGGAAUGAGCAGGGCCCCCAUCCCUCAAGUGCAACUCACAGUUCACCACCGGCAUGGUGAAACAGCCGCAAACUAGGGCAUGUCUGGUGGGGCUCUGCCAGCCGUUAAUAAAGGUUUCUAACCAAAGGAACACCUAGUGCAGCUCUCACCGUGGACAACCUUCCGCAGGAAUCCUGGAAAGAGCUGGCUCACAUGGGCGGCAAAGGCCACGGCGGCUACCGCGGCAACCUCCCGCUAAUUCCAGGGGCUGCAGCCCAGCAUUGGCACUGUGCUGCAGUCAGUUUGGCUGUAGAGGAACCCUGUGUGGGACGGGGACUGUGCCUGAUUCGAUUAUCUUCUAUCUAUCCUUGCGCUUAGUACAGUACUUGGCAAAUAGGAAGCACUUAAUUUCCACCAUUAUUAAAUAAAGCUCUUGCAUACACUUCUGAAAAUGCUGGCCUCCUGCCCUCUAAAUCCCUGUUUUCCCCAGCAAAAAUCUGACCGGUGAGAACGAGAGAGGAAAGUGACACAGCCCAAACCACUAGAAUUUGAGUGUAUGCUCUUAGCGGAGAGGGAACGUGGCUUGUGUUCCUUUUGUACUUUCCAAGUAUAUAGUAUGGUGCAAUGAACUCGAUGGGUGAUCAAUAAAUGCAUUUGCGGCUAUUACUGCUAUCACUACUACUAUUACUUCUAACACAUAA